rnacentral:rRNA from 1 species
UACGGAGGGGGCAAGCGUUGUCCGGACUUACUGGGCGUAAAGGGUGCGUAGGCGGUCUUGUGCGUCGGUGCUGAAAGCGCCCGGCUUAACCGGGCGAGGCGUGCCGAUACGAUAAGACUGGAGGGGCAGCGAGGGUGGCGGAACUCCUGGUGUAGUGGUGAAAUGCGUAGAUAUCUGGAGGAACACCGGUGGCGAAGGCGGCAUCCUGGACCGGUAUUGACGCUGAUGCGCGAAAGCCAGGGGAGCAAACGGG